CAUUAUUGAAUAAACUUGAACAAGCUGUUUUUGCUGGCUUCUUUGGAGGCAUGUGCACGCUUGUCAUCUUUAUCUUUCCAACUUGUGCACUUAUUGUAGAUCUUGGAAGUUUGAAUUAUUUUCUAUAGAUUGAGGACUGCUGUGCUUUUACUAAAAAAAAGGUCAGCUUUGCCUUGUAUUUCGAGAUCUAUGUUUAUUACAACCUCUUAAUAUGUUAAGAAUGUUAAAAAAAGAGUUAAUUUAUACAACUUUCAGCAACGGAUCUCUUGGCUCUCGCAUCGAUGAAGAACGCAGCGAAAUGUGAUAAGUAAUGUGAAUUGCAGAAUUCAGUGAAUCAUCGAAUCUUUGAACGCAUCUUGCGCUUCUUGGUAUUCCGAGGAGCAUGCCUGUUUGAGUGUCAUUAAAUUCUCAACCAUAUUAAAUUCUUUUGAUAUGGCUUGGUUAUUGGAAGCCUGCAGGUCUUUUUUUAUAUGGGUCUGCUCUUCUAAAAUGCAUUAGUAGUAUAUACUGCUUACAGAUGUGAUAAUUAUUUACAUCUCUAUAGCAGAUCAUGCUGCUACUAACAAAAGUUGAACAUGUAUUAUAUAUUUGACCUCAAAUCAGGUAGGAGUACCCGCUGAACUUAAGCAUAUCAAUAAGCGGAGGAAAAGAAACUAACAAGGAUUCCCUUAGUAACUGCGAGUGAAGUGGGAAAAGCUCAAAUUUGAAAUCUGGCAGUUCUUGACUGUCCGAGUUGUAAUCUAGAGAAGUGUUACCUGUGCUGGACCAUGUAUAAGUCUUCUGGAAUGGAGUAUCAUAGAGGGUGAGAAUCCCGUCUUUGACAUGGACUACCAGUGCAUUAUGGUGUGCUCUCAAAGAGUCGAGUUGUUUGGGAAUGCAGCUCAAAAUGGGUGGUAAAUGCCAUCUAAA
rnacentral:rRNA from 1 species